UCCAGCCUCUGCCCCGAGAGGGUUUAACACCUGGAGUUCCCGCCUGCGAUUUCUCUCUUGCGGCCCUUUGGGAAAGGGAAUGGCAGAUUGACUCUGAACUUGGCAAAGGACUUAUAACGCUUUAGUAUUUAAAUGAAGGAGUGGGUCUGAAGAAGACCGAGGAUCUGUAAAACAAUCUUAUUUAAGCCUUCAGCUACCAGAGGCUGUGACAUAAACCCCAGGAAUCGAUUGAGAAGUAAUAGUGAGGACACAGAAAGAAAACACAGGCCUGUAACCCAGGAAGUGGAUUUCACCAGAAACUGAAUCUGCUGACACCUUGAACUUGGACUUCUCAGAUUCCAGAACUAAGGAGAGCCCAGGAAGCUAUAUUUAAAAACAAACAAACAAAAAAAAUGAGAUGACCAUGGCAUGCACUUGACUUGCAGAACUACUGACUUAAAAAUAAUACCAGAGGAAUGGCCUGCUUGGAAAAUCCCCCAGUGAUGCUCUCACACAUUCAUCGUACCUUUCAUCCUUACUACGCUCUUUAUCUGGAAUAUGUUCCAAACCAUUACCUCAUCCAAGACUCUCCCAGAUGAAGGAUUGGGCCUCAGAUGUCACAGAUAAGAGGCGGUAGGUCCCAGACACAAAGCCGGACAACUGGUUCCGGACUCCAUACUCUUCACUCUGCAUUGCUGCCUAUUCCAGAACUCAGCAGUUAGUAGCUUCAAGAGCAAGUAGACUAUUCGCUAUCAUCCAGGUAUAAUAAUUUGUCGAUUGGAACUGUUUGGCCUCAAGAGGGCAAGCUUUGCAAAUUCAAUCCGGCUGAAUUGACAGAAAAAGUCCUGGAAUUCAAGACUAAUUUGCCUAGGAGUUUCCUUGAAGCAAAAGCCAUGAAGUCUCAGUCAGCAAUGUGUUGUCCGAUGUAUAUGGUUAUGGCAUUUUGAGUCAGUUAGAAUAUCAAGAGGGUUUCAAGAUUUGCUACAUAUUAAUUAAAUACGUGUUAGUGGUUGAAGGAUGAUCUAUCAACAAAACGACUUAGUCAAAAUUUCCAGACUCUAGCCCUUUGAAAACAAAACCGUGGGGCCAGACCCAGCAUAGUUGUCAUAAUUACAUAGAGAUACUCUGAAAAGCAAGAUACUGGGUCAAUCAUUUCCUUUUCCCAUCUCCCACCAAUUCUACAUUAACAUAUUUAUUGAUUCCAUCUUAGGAAUUGUUUGGGUUAAAUAUGAAAUGUCAAUGCAAUCAAUACUGUUUCUACUUUCAUUAGUGUGGUGGUCAAGUAAGUCUAAGUUAAACUUCAUUAACAAAAACCCUCAAGCUGCCGUGUCUUAACCUAGAACACGUUUAUUUUUUGCUCAUGUGGAAUCCUAUGUGGA